rnacentral:lncRNA from 1 species
CCUUGGGCAACUGAUAGUGUGAAUGAACCUCAGGAGAAAUGCAUCAAGGAGAGAAAAGAACGAAUUUUUCAGGGUGUAGUUCUAAGAGAAAGAGGACAUCAUCCUUUCUCACUUGAUGCCCACAGUUUUUCUCUCCUGGCAGCAGCCAUAGCUCCAGGUGGAAAAGGCAACCUACUCAUUGAGGAAGUUCUAACCUCUGCAGUCCGGGCUCCCUGGAAGAGUGACCAUGGAGGUCACGUUUUGAAACUGACAGCAUCACAAGAUGGAAGAAUCUUUGACUACUGAGUCACAGAGUCAGCCAGGAGUGCUGUCCAACUCUGAACACCUGCAUUGGAUUUUAGUGAUUAAGAAAUAAAUUUGUAUUGUCUUAUGCA